GUCUCUCCAUUGAUUUAAUUAGUGUGCAGAGAGAAACGUGUGCGUUUGAGAUGUUACAUGAUCUCUAUUAUGUAUGCUGGAGCAUCAUUUAGUAAUCUGCACCAUGUCGGCUUUCUUUAUUGGCCGGCGGUGAGGUGGACUCCCGAGGAGCCUGUUGUCUGACGGCCACCGUGACCAUGAUAAAGUAUUGGGCCGGCUGGAGAAUCGGAUAAAUUCCGAGAUUCAGCGGACGGACCCUUGAGGAACACCGUUGCGCAUAGACAAUAGAUUCGUAAGAACAGCUGUGAGCCCAAACACAUGUGGGUCCAUGAUUUGGUCAAGAGAGGAGGAAUGCUGAGCGAGUUUUCCAGGCUGAACGUGUGUAGCAUCUGCUUGUAUGGCGUGCUGGCAGAGUUUCUGAAACAAAAUGAAAUGAGCUAAUCAGUUUGUGCCAUGCUUAAUUUAAUCUCCCCGGUGCUGCGCUAUCGAUUUGAUUUUUGACUCCUGAUUUGCGAAAAGCAGAAGAAUAAUGUCAUAUAGUAAUGAGGUCGUGUUAUUAAACUGGUGCAGCUACUGAAAGGCUCUUACAAGUGUUUUUUUUAAAUUAUUUAUAUUUUAUAAAUGAGUUGAUGUAUUGCACAACUUUAAACUAGUUGAGGCCGAUGUAAACCAAAAGAGCAGACAGAAACCAUGCAAUGUUUUAAUACUAGGGGUGUGACGAGACAGUCAGCUGGCGAGACGAGACAUGAGAUUGAGUUCACGAGACGAGAUUUUUACACAGUAUUUUUAAGAAAUCCUCAAUGAUGAAAUACAUGACUAGAAAAAUAGUCUGCUGGUGCAUUUGAAAUGUUUUAACAAAUCCUCUUGUAAUGAAUAUCAUUUCGUUUCUACUUUCUGAGUAUGAAUUAUUAUAUGCAGUAAAAGCAACAAUACUCAAGCACUGUAAAAGGUUUUGCUGCAAACUUCUCUUCAGUAUAAUUUUAUAUGAGUCUCUUCAGACCUUAGAAGUUAGAACUGUACAUGAUUUAUGAGCCUCUACAACUUUUGACCUCCUAACUGAACCCCUUUCCACAGAUUGAUCAUAGAAAUAAAAACAGUAUAAAUACAAAUGAAUAACAGAUUUCUCUUAGUCUCAUUAAGUGCAA